rnacentral:rRNA from 1 species
UGGGGAAUUUUGGACAAUGGGCGAAAGCCUGAUCCAGCAAUGCCGCGUGUGUGAAGAAGGCCUUCGGGUUGUAAAGCACUUUUGUCCGGAAAGAAAUCCUUGGCUCUAAUACAGUCGGGGGAUGACGGUACCGGAAGAAUAAGCACCGGCUAACUACGUGCCAGCAGCCGCGGUAAUACGUAGGGUGCAAGCGUUAAUCGGAAUUACUGGGCGUAAAGCGUGCGCAGGCGGUUUGCUAAGACCGAUGUGAAAUCCCCGGGCUCAACCUGGGAACUGCAUUGGUGACUGGCAGGCUAGAGUAUGGCAGAGGGGGGUAGAAUUCCACGUGUAGCAGUGAAAUGCGUAGAGAUGUGGAGGAAUACCGAUGGCGAAGGCAGCCCCCUGGGCCAAUACUGACGCUCAUGCACGAAAGCGUGGGGAGCAAACAGGAUUAGAUACCCUGGUAGUCCACGCCCUAAACGAUGUCAACUAGUUGUUGGGGAUUCAUUUCUUAGUAACGUAGCUAACGCGUGAAGUUGACCGCCUGGGGAGUACGGUCGCAAGAUUAAAACUUAAAGGAAUUGAC